GGCAGCAAAUCCAAAAGUGGGAAGAUCAAAGCAGUGGCUGGGAGCAGCUCCGGAUCCGGUGCUCCUAGCCGCAGCUUCGACGACGGCAAUCUCUGGUCCUGCGACCGCUGCACCUACGCCAACCCCAGGUCUACUACCACAUGCCAGAUGUGUGAGCAUCACAGGUAGUGGUCCACCGGUGGUAGAUCUUCUUCCAGUUUGGGCAUCACUUGUGUGUAAAGUUUGCCCUUGAACCUGUUUCAAUGGCCUGUGAUGCUAGAACCAAUUCCUGUGAUGCUGGCUGGCUAGAAGGGCUAUUUAUUCAC
rnacentral:lncRNA from 1 species